rnacentral:rRNA from 1 species
AACGAACGCUGGCGGCGUGCCUAACACAUGCAAGUCGAACGGAGUCAUUUUGAAGUAGCAAUACGGAGAUAUGACUUAGUGGCGGACGGGUGAGUAACACGUAGGUAACCUACCCUUAAGCGGGGGACAACUCAGGGAAACUUGAGCUAAUACCGCAUAAGACCACGGGCUGAGAUGCCAGUGGGAAAAGGAGCAAUCCACUUAAGGAUGGGCCUGCGGCCUAUCAGGUAGUUGGUGAGGUAACGGCCCACCAAGCCAGAGACGGGUAGCCGGACUGAGAGGUUGAACGGUCACACUGGAACUGAGAUACGGUCCAGACUCCUACGGGAGGCAGCAGUGGGGAAUAUUGCACAAUGGGGGAAACCCUGAUGCAGCGACGCCGCGUGGAGGAUGAAGGCCUUCGGGUUGUAAACUCCUUUUGUAGGGGA